rnacentral:rRNA from 1 species
UACGGAGGGUGCAAGCGUUAAUCGGAAUUACUGGGCGUAAAGGGUGCGUAGGUGGUUGACAAAGUUAGGUGUAAAAUUCCUGGGCUUAACCUGGGCUUGAGACAUAAUACUGGUUGACUAGAGUAUAGGAGAGGGUAGUGGAAUUUCCGGUGUAGCGGUGAAAUGCGUAGAGAUCGGAAGGAACACCAGUGGCGAAGGCAGCUCGCUGGGACGGUACUGACGCUGAGGCGCGAAAGCGUGGGGAGCAAACAGG